UACGUAGGUGACCAGCGUUGUCCGGAUUUACUGGGCGUAAAGGGUGCGUAGGCGGCGCGGUAAGUCGGGUGUGAAAUCUCGGAGCUUAACUCCGAAACUGCAUUCGAUACUGCCGUGCUUGAGGACUGGAGAGGAGACUGGAAUUUACGGUGUAGCGGUGAAAUGCGUAGAUAUCGUAAGGAAGACCAGUGGCGAAGGCGGGUCUCUGGACAGUUCCUGACGCUGAGGCACGAAGGUCAGGGGAGCAAACGGG
rnacentral:rRNA from 1 species